UACGAGGGGGGCAAGCGUUGUUCGGAAUUAUUGGGCGUAAAGGGUGCGUAGGCGGUCUGAUAAGUCAUCUGUGAAAUCUAUGGGCUCAACCCAUAGUCUGCAGGCGAAACUGUCGGGCUUGAGUAUGGGAGAGGUGAGUGGAAUUUCCGGUGUAGCGGUGAAAUGCGCAGAUAUCAGGAGGAACACCGGUGGCGAAGGCGGGUCUCUGGGCAGUAACUACGCUGAGGAGCGAAAGCGUGGGGAGCGAACAGG
rnacentral:rRNA from 1 species